AUGCCCGCCGCUGCGUUACCCGCUGUCAACAUCGCGAGUGUCCGCACCCAUGUCCCAGUGACACUGGACCUCCACGCCUCCAACUUCACCAAGUGGAGGAUGCUCAUCCGUGUGCUUCUCGGCAAGUACGAUCUGCUCUCCCACAUCAACACCGCCACUGCUGAGGCGGACCGCACCACCGACUGGGUUCGCAAGGACUAUAUUGUCCGCUCGUGGCUCUAUGGUUCGAUCUCGGACGAGAUCCUCGACAUAAUCAUGGCGGAGGAUCAGACGGCGCAAGAAGCUUGGACACUCAUCACCAACCUGUUUCUGGACAAUCAGAUGACCCGCGCCGUUUAUCUUGAAGCGGAGUUCCGCGGCCUCGUCCAGGGCGAGCUCUCCGUCACCGCCUACUGCCACCGUUUGAAGGCGCUCUCCGAUGCCCUCGGCGAUGUUGGCACCCCCAUCUCCGACCAGACACUGGUGCUCAAUUGCCUUCGUGGUCUCAAUCCGCGGUUUUCGGACAUCACGACGAUAGUCACCAUGCAGAACCCCCUUCCCUCGUUCAGCCAGACGAGAUCGCUGCUGACCCUCCGUGAAACCCAGCUCGCGAAUUCCGCCGCGAUUGGGCACGAGACGACACUCUAUGGAGGUGCGCCUCCCCGUGGCGCCGGCGGCUCCACUUCCUCUGGACACCACCGUGGCGACGACGCUCGACACGGCAGCGACGGCCCUCGUUACGGGAACGCCUCCGGGGGUGGCUCCUCCGGCGGAAAACGCAAUAGCGGCAACUGGAAGAAGAAGAAAGGCUCCGGCGGCGGGAACGACGGGGGUGGCUGCCCUAACUCCCACGACGGGCACUUCCAACAGGGGGCGCCCUCGUCUGUUGGUCCCUGGGUCUGCUUCAAUCCCUAUACGGGGCAGGCCUAG
rnacentral:rRNA from 1 species